rnacentral:misc_RNA from 1 species
GGGGGGUGGUGGGUGUGGGGUUUGGGGGCGCGGCUAAAAUCAAAUAGCUACUGCUAACUACACAUUAGUAUACAAGAAUGAGCAACUUUAAUCAUUAAUGUCCUAAGUUACCUUUGAUAAGGAACAUACGGGGACUAGGAACCUAAAUUCUGUAUUGGUAAAUUACAGAUGCAACCUAAGUAGAAUACAAGGAAUUUCAUCUCUGCAACUGAUCCGGCGUGUGGUUGCUUGUUGUGGAUGAUGAUGUAGUCCUGCCAUUUAGCAUCCCAUUAUCCACUGGAGGAGUUGAUCCCCAUUUCCUCUCUGAUUCUGUGGGUUCCAACACUUUAACAGACCCAUCUGUCAACCCUAAAGCUAAUUGGUUGGCCUCUUGGGGAUGUGCAGCAACAACAAGAGGGUAAAGGGAUUGGCUUCCAUUCAAGACUGCCUGGGACAAGUAUGCUGAUGAAGCAAUUCGGCACCUUAGUCUCAAGCUAUCAGCAUCAAAUACCCCAACAUUACCAUCACAAAAUGCAGCAUAAAUUAAUUGGCUGUUGCAAGAGAAUGCCGCAUAGGAUAGGGGUGCAGAUAAUGCAUCUUGAGGUACCCACUGCCGGACACGUUCCAUCUUAGAGGCAUCAUACAUUGCUAACUGGGUCUCAUGUACCACCAGCAAGCGGGUCUGAUCAGAGUGGAACUGCACCCAAGUGUCACCAUUAGGUGCCUUUCCUGCUGGAAUUUGAAUCGUAACUGAUUUCCUUUUCUCCCAUGUGUCAACACUCCAGACACAAAGCUGCAGAAGAAAUAGUCAACACAUUAACUGGUACCAUAAAAAACUAACAUUGUUCUGCAACCCAAUUGGUGCAUAUGCCAUUCCAUGGAAGACAGCAAUUAAGAGAAACAUUUUGCUGUAGAUGGUGAAAUUUGGUUGUCAAGAGUAACAAUUGAUUGAAAAUAUGUUCGAAUUUGCAUGAUACUAUGAUUCUAGAACCCCAAGACACGACUUGACAAUUUACCACCAACCCCCUGCCUCCCCUCUCUUGCAAAACUCUUUGCUCCAUCACAUCAAUAAUAUCCACGACAAAUGGCAUUCAUCUGAAAUCACUGCUUAUUAUAAGUGAACACGUCAAAUGAGAAGAAGAAUAUAUCAACAAGUAAAACUAACAAAGAAAGCUACAAGUUGACAACAUGACAAAAGAGAUAACCCCAACAAAUGAAAGAUAAAGAAGCACACAGAGGGCCCUCUCAAAUUGUAACUUGACCAACUAGUAUGUGUGUGUGCUUGCACACUGACAAAUUUUCAUUAGGCAUUAAUUGAGUUGAUAACUUUUUAGUUCACUAAAUGGCCUAGAUUCAAAUAAAAGCUAAUCAAAUAGUGGCGAGUGAUAAGCAAAAGUCUGCCUCCCACUUACUUGAGCAUCAGCACCUGAAGAAACCAAGAUAUUGAGAUUGGUGGAAAAAGCCAAACCAGUAAUUCUCCUCUGGUGACCUUUCAAUUUUGAUUUCACCUCAUCCACUCGAACAUUGUAGAUAUGUAUAGUUGAAUCCUCCAUUCCAAUGGCUAUAAUGUUAUUAUCCUGAGGAUGGAAUGCUAGGAAGGUUGAAGCAGGAGGAGGAGACAUGAAUGUUGUCAUUACCCUGAAUGUCAUCAUAUUGAACAGUGAAACCUUUCCUCCAGCAGCUGACAUUACAUAUGAGUCAUUCUUUGAAAGUGCUAUGCACGGGACUGCUUCUUCAAGGUUAACACCUGAGACAUCAUUAGCCAUAAGAAGACCACUGUUUGGUUGCCAAUGCUGUGGAACGGCACUGGCAGUGGCCUUUCCAGUUACAUUAUGAUCAUUGCGUGUCCAUUUCCACAGCUUCUGAAUUCCAUUUGACCCGAGUGCCAAAAUGCCAACACCAGAGUUUGUAUACAGAAGUCGAACAACCUUGCUGGAAGAAUCUGUGCUGUCAGGCAAGGUAACCAUUCGGCAGUCACCAGGAUCCACAAUUUCAGCCAACUGCCACGGCUUUGCUUUAUCAAUUACAUCAUCCACAGUUCUGGGCUUUUCCAUGCUUCUAUUCAAGGUAUCAACCCCAUUAAGAAUUGGAGAAGGCCUGACAGGAGAGCUCCUUUCCACUUUACAGUUGACUGGACUGACACUUGUAACACCAGAAGUGCCAGAAACCUUGAUAGCAGCUGAUUCAAUAGGCGAUCUCAAUGCUUCAAAAGCUGGAGUUUCUACGGUUCUCAAUGACCUGAGACCAGAAGCAUUUGCAAGUAUCUUGAAUCCGUUAUCUGCAGUAGUAACAGCAAGUAGAUUUCCCUCUUUGUUGAAUCUCAGGCGAGGGAGACUCGGUAGUCCACCAUCUGCAUCUGUACUUGUAAGCAUAUUGGCAUUAUCCAUAUCCCAAAACUUUAUCUGGCUAUCUUCCCCUGCAGCCAAAAAGUGGUUUUGUGUGGUGUCAAACUGCACUACACCCGUCGUUGACUUCUUUCUAAACCCAACAUAAUGCCUCUUUAUUGCUCCUUCACUUUCAUUCCAUUCAACUAAGAAAGAAUCCCCUUCUUUACUUGUUCCACAAGAGAAUAAUCUACUACCAUCAGCACUGUAAAGCAUUGUAGUGCACCAACGGCCUGGAGCAUCAUAGUCAACUCUAGAUCCUAUAUUAUCAUAUAGCCAAGCCUUUAUUUUUCCAUCAAUAGCAGUUGAGAAUAUGAACUGGAUAUUUUCUUUGUGGUGAGGACAUAUAGAAUAGACAGGAGCCUCAUGACCUUCAAAAUUAAACAGUUUCCGUCCUGCUAAAUCCCACACCUUUAUCAGCUUAUCAUCUCCACAGGUUACCACACACAGUUGUUUGUUUGGAUGAGCAAAAGCCAAGUCAUUAACGCCUCCAACAUGAGCAUCAAUCUCUAAUUGCUGGCGUAGAUCAUUUAACCCAGUAUAAGCAUACAGGUGAAUCAAGUGCUUAUUAAAUGCAGCGCCUACAAGACUUCCAUCAGGACUCCAAGUAACACGAUUGACAGAAAUUUGUGUAUCUUUGACAAAGGAAGCCUGAAAUUGCAAUGAAUAGGCUGUCAUUUCCCAAUUCUUGAAGGGCUUUGAAACCAACCUCUCCUGUAGCCCAACAUCCCAUAGUGUAACCUCACCAUUAGCAGAACCAACAAGAAGCAAUACAUGGUGAGAAGGAUGAAAAUCCAUGCUCGUGACAGCUGAACCUUGAUGAAGAGUUAAAGCUACUGUCCUUGGCAGGUCAUCCAAAGACCAAGAUGCCUGCUGCCGAGAUGUUGGAUAUGUAACCUCCUCAACAGUUUGGGCAGGCCGCAAACGUUUCAUUAGUUGUUCAUGGUCAGGACUUUGAUAAUCAACCAUACCCGGAGCUGUUGGUGGUGUUCUUGGCCGUUUCAAGACAGAAACUUGAUUCUGUGGAACAGGAAUGGAUGAUGCAGUGACAACAGCUGCUUGAACAGAUGAAGAAGCAGAAGCAUUUGCCAUCCAACCAGCUAACGCACUGGCAUUAGCUGCUGCAGCAGAGGGUGGAAAGGUACCAUGUGCCCCAAGAGAUGUAUAAUUCAAAGGCUUUGCCACAGCAGCAACUGGAAGGUUGACAGGUGCAGGAGCAAGAGGACCAUUUGGAGGUGUACAUGUAUGGUCGGUGAAUAGAGUCUUAAUGUCAGGGUUUGGCCUCGGAUUCUUGCAUAACUGAUGCUGCCAGUUUAAACUUUGAUUAAUUAGAGUCCUCAAUCGGGAUGACUUCAGAGUAGGAAAGGCAAGUUUAUCGCGGAAAAGAGGAUUUGCUUCAAUGAGCUUCUUCAGCUCUAUCAACAUUAUGCUACGAGCUGUUUUUGUAUCACCAUACUUGGAUAGCUGUUCAUUUUCCCUGAAAUUUCCAAGAGUCAAGAGUUGAGUGAUUUCUUUGUACAAUUCUUCAUUAAAUGUUGAGAAUACUUUUAAAUCACUUACUAAGAUUUCAACAGCCUUAGCCUUGUCUUGCUGAUCAAGAGCUUCAAGAUAUUUCUGCUUCCUAAUUUCAAAGAAUAUCUUCAUGGAGUAUCUGUUAUCGUCAACCUUAGUAAAUCCAGAUAAGUAUUUUUCAACUUCCUCCCAUUCUCCAGCCUGAACUUUCUCCUCAAAGAACUUCAUGUUGAAGAAAAAUCCUGAUUCCUUCUCAAGUUUGUGCACGGACUCCUUGAAUUUCUCUUCUUCAAGAAACUGAAGUAUGAGAAAUACCAAUUCUCUGCUCAAAGACGACAUUCUAGAGCUCCCAAAUUCCAAAACCAACCGAUCCAGAAACCAAACAAGCAACGCCAAAAAAGCAGAGAGCUCUCAAUUGAGAAGCCACAGAAACGCCCAGCUCAACAGAGAAUACACAAAUCGGUCACAAAUUAGCAAAGCUGCGUCACAAACCUGAGAUCAAUUCACCAAAUUUUGGAACUUUUCUGGCUCAAAAUGAGCUCGAAAUCCGAGGAGCUUUAGGGUUUCAAAGGCUGCUAUGAAGAGAGAGUAUAAAAAAGAGAGAAAAAAUGGGAAGGAUAGACUUCUC